AGUGAACGCUGGCGGUAGGCCUAACACAUGCAAGUCGAACGGCAGCACAGUAAUAGCUUGCUCUUAUGGGUGGCGAGUGGCGGAUGGGUGAGGAAUACAUCGGAAUCUACUUUUUCGUGGGGGAUAACGUAGGGAAACUUACGCUAAUACCGCAUACGACCUACGGGUGAAAGCAGGGGAUCUUCGGACCUUGCGCGAUCGAAUGAGCCGAUGUCGGAUUAGCUAGUUGGUGGGGUAAAGGCCCACCAAGGCGACGAUCCGUAGCUGGUCUGAGAGGAUGAUCAGCCACACUGGAACUGAGACACGGUCCAGACUCCUACGGGAGGCAGCAGUGGGGAAUAUUGGACAAUGGGCGCAAGCCUGAUCCAGCCAUACCGCGUGGGUGAAGAAGGCCUUCGGGUUGUAAAGCCCUUUUGUUGGGAAAGAAAAGCAGCAGGUUAAUACCCCGCUGUUCUGACGGUACCCAAAGAAUAAGCACCGGCUAACUUCGUG
rnacentral:rRNA from 1 species